UACGUAGGGUGCAAGCGUUAAUCGGAAUUACUGGGCGUAAAGCGUGCGCAGGCGGUGAUGUAAGACAGAUGUGAAAUCCCCGGGCUCAACCCAGGAAGUGCACUCGAAACUGGAGGGCUAGAGUAUCGGAGAGGUUGGUGGAAUUCUCGGUGUAGAGGUGAAAUUCGUAGAUAUCGAGAGGAACACCGGUGGCGAAGGCGGCCAACUGGACGAAUACUGACGCUGAGACACGAAAGCGUGGGGAGCAAACAGG
rnacentral:rRNA from 1 species